GAUGAACGCUAGCGACAGGCCUAACACAUGCAAGUCGAGGGGCAUCGGGACGUAGCAAUACGGUUGCCGGCGACCGGCGGAUGGGUGAGUAACGCGUAUGCAACCUACCCGUAGCAGGGGGAUAGCCCGUUGAAAGACGGAUUAAUACCCCGUAACACAGGGGCUCCGCAUGGAGAUUAUUGUUAAAGGGUCAUUUCUUUUAGAGGUGGUCCGGCUGCGGAUGGGGCAUGCGUUCCAUUAGGUAGUUGGUGUAGGUAACGGCUCACCAAGCCGACGAUGGAUAGGGGAACUGAGAGGUUGGUCCCCCACACUGGUACUGAGACACGGACCAGACUCCUACGGGAGGCAGCAGUGAGGAAUCUUGGUCAAUGGACGCAAGUCUGAACCAGCCAUGUCGCGUGAAGGAGGACGGCCCUAAGGGUUGUAAACUUCUUUUGCAGCGGAAUAAAGUUUGCCACGAGUUGGCGAUUUGCAAGUACGCUGCGAAUAAGGAUCGGCUAACUCCGUG
rnacentral:rRNA from 1 species